rnacentral:misc_RNA from 1 species
GAUGAAGAACGCAGCGAAAUGCGAUAAGUAAUGUGAAUUGCAGAAUUCAGUGAAUCAUCGAAUCUUUGAACGCACAUUGCGCCCCCCAGUAUUCUGGCGGGCAUGCCUGUUCGAGCGUCAUUUCAACCAUCAAGCCCUGCUUGUGUUGGGGUCCUGCGGCUGCCCGCAGGCCCUGAAAACCAGUGGCGGGCUCGCUAGUCACACCGAGCGCAGUAGCACAUCUCGCUCAGGGCGUCCGGCGGGCUCCAGCCGUUAAAGCACCCACCUUUCGCAAGGUUGACCUCGGAUCAGGUAGGAAUACCCGCUGAACUUAAGCAAAUCAAUAAGCGGAGGA